rnacentral:tRNA from 1 species
ACCCGGCUGGCUCAGCUUGCGAAGCAUGCGACUCUUAAUCUCAGGGUUGUGGGUUUGAGCCCCAUGUUGGGUG